AGCAAGUUGGGCUGCCGCGUGCGCGCUCUGCGCGUAUGAGGAAAGUCCGGGCAUCGCAGAGCGGGAUAGCGGGUAACGCCCGCCGGAGGCGACUCCAGGGAAAGUGCAACAGAGAUAUACCGCCGGCUACGCCGGUAAGGGUGGAAAGGCGAGGUAAGAGCUCACCCGUCCCCACGGUGACGCGGGGACGCUGUAAACCCUAUCCGAUGCAACACCGACCGGGACCGUACGGUUGCUCGCCGUGUUCCGAAGGGUGGCGAGAGGCGCGCGGCAACGCGCGUCCCAGAUAGAUGGCAGUCUUAAAGGACAGAACCCGGCUUACAGGCUUGCUCAC
rnacentral:RNase_P_RNA from 1 species